rnacentral:rRNA from 1 species
UGGGGAAUAUUGGACAAUGGGGGCAACCCUGAUCCAGCAAUGCCGCGUGUGUGAAGAAGGCCUGCGGGUUGUAAAGCACUUUUGGCAGGGAUGAAAAGCACUGGAUUAAUAACCCAGUGUGUUGACCUAACCUGCAGAAGAAGCACCGGCUAACUCUGUGCCAGCAGCCGCGGUAAUACAGGGGGGUGCGAGCGUUAAUCGGAAUUACUGGGCGUAAAGGGCGCGUAGGCGGUCGAGUAAGUCGGAUGUGAAAUCCCCGGGCUUAACCUGGGAAUUGCAUUCGAUACUGCUUGGCUAGAGUGUGGAAGAGGGAAGCGGAAUUUCCGGUGUAGCGGUGAAAUGCGUAGAUAUCGGAAGGAACACCAGUGGCGAAGGCGGCUUCCUGGUCCAACACUGACGCUGAGGCGCGAAAGCGUGGGGAGCAAACAGGAUUAGAUACCCAGGUAGUCCCUGAGCGGGCUGGCAAGGCGCAU